UACGUAGGGUCCAAGCGUUAUCCGGAAUUACUGGGCGUAAAGAGUUGCGUAGGUGGCAUAGUAAGCGGGUAGUGAAAUCGUGUGGCUCAACCAUGCUCACAUUAUCCGAACUGCUAGGCUAGAGAACGAGAGAGGUAGAUGGAAUUCCCUGUGUAGGAGUGAAAUCCGUAGAUAUAGGGAGGAACACCGAUGGCGUAGGCAGUCUACUGGCUCGUUUCUGACACUAAGGCACGAAAGCGUGGGGAGCAAACGGG
rnacentral:rRNA from 1 species